UCAGGGCAAGAUGAUCGAGAGAUCUGAUUCUCUGUUUUUGUAAGUUGUUUUCCUUUUGUUGUUUGAUUAUACAUUGAUCCUUUCUAAAAGCCGUUGAUCCCUGUAUUUUCUGGUUUGAACGUGUUUUGAUCAUUUUUUUUAUAUUUGAAUUGUGUAUUUUCUGGGUUGAACGCGUUCUGAUCAUUUUUUUAUAUCCGACUUGUGCGUUAGCCAUCAGUCCGCUCACUGUACACAUCGAUCUCUCUUUGCUCUAUGUGGAUCGGAUCAUAACAUGUUGAUUCUUCAUAGGUAUGGUCAAAUCAAUAUUUUCAUAUCAUUAUGUUAUAUUGUUUUUUAGAUUAUGAAUAUGUAUUUUGAAUGUUAACAUCCACUUUUAUUUCAUACUUGGUUAAUUUUCUGAUUAUAUUAACCAUUCUUAUUAAAAGCAAGUUAUUUUGAUGUUGACUUAUUCAGAUUAGGAGAAAUAAAAAUCCAACAAAAUGUAUCUUUAUAUAUAUUAUAAUUCUUUUAAAUUAUUCAGCUGUUUGGUACCUAGUGGUUUUUGUUAUCCUGAAAUAAAUACUGAAUAUGUUGGGCUUUGAUUGUGUUAAAGUCUUCUUUUGUUCUUUCUAAGAUAAUAAGAUAUUAAAAUGUAUUUCUUGCAUCUUUUUUGCACCUGUCACAGGUAUCUCGCCUUCUCCAAGUACAGAGGUCUUAAAGGACGUAAAUUUUCAGAGAAUUUCAGUUGAUGAUUAUGGAGAGCAUUGUCAUUGCAAGGAAGGGCCUUCUUUGUGUGCGUGUUGGGAAAGGUUAUCUUAAUAUACUGCCUACUUCGUCUAAGUUUUAAGAAUUUUUCAAAUAAAUAAAACAUUAAAUAGGACUGCAAAAUCUAUAUUUAUGAAAAUAGUAAUUCUAUGAUUUUGAAAAUAAAUUUUGGACUCUGUAAGCCCCUAUGUAUACUUUGGAACGGUUCAACCCAUUUUCAUUUUAUUGAUCCUAGAAUGGGAUGAUUCCGGUUAUGAUUUAUCUCUAACAAGUCAAAUAGGCAAAUAACAUGAAGUUUUGUAAAGCAAACGUCGCCAAAAGUGUAUUCAGUUAUCAUGCAACCUCCUAAAAUCAUUUUAUUGAAAUUAAAUACUAUUAUAUUGAAGUAAUACAACCAUAACUGACACCUAGUAUAUAUAAAAACAGACAAAAAUAUUUUCUCGAUCAACCUGAUCUUGUACCAAAAAAUGAUCUGUUUGACCUGAAAUUUUACGAAAUCGUCGGUUUUGCCCCCCUAGGUAUCCUUUGAAAUUUAUUAAAUUUUUCAACUAAUGAUCUGAUAUUUGGCAGGCUCUACUGCAAAAUGAAGCUUUUUUUCAACAGCUUCUUUUACUACCCAAACCUUUUCGCUGCUGUUAACGAUGGUGGGGGAUCUGGCAACAAUUUUGCUAGUUUUGCCAGUUUUGCGGCACCACCACCCACCACCAAUCUGGUAUAAUUUUUUUUAUUGUUCUUUAAUUAAUUUAUUCCUUUAUGUUAGAAAAUUGUGCAUGGGUUGAUCAUUAAUUAUUUUUGAUCAACCAGCGCGUUGGGACAUGGAGGCGCGGUGGUGUGAGGGCCUAGUACCGUUUUCACGGCGGAAUUUGCGAUGGAUUUUGUGGAUUAGCUUUUCGUAAUACUGUAGACUACACCGUGGCUCGUCCGCUACAACUGUUUGAUGCUUUGGAUCCGAUUAACUUUCAGGUCUCUUUAUUAAUUUCUGUACUGAAUUUAGUUUUUUUUUUAAAUUUUUUUAUUUUAUAAAAAUACAAUCAUUUCUCUUUCAUUUGUUUUAGAUGACAAAUUGACAAUUGAUCAUGGUGGCUUUGUGAACAUUCCGAUGAUCGAACCGUCAUGUCUGCCGGAGGAGGCAAGCAGUGGAAUCGGCGUGUUCUUACCGGCAUAUCUGAGGAGGAUCCGUGGUAGAAAAGGUGAUGGUGUGAACAACAAUAAUUGUUAUAAUAAAUCUAGUUGACAAUAAUCUACUCUUUAUUCUUAAUAAAACCCAUAAAAUCUAUACAAAAAUAUAAAUAAUUAAACGAGUUUAGAAAUACUGCUAAUAAAUGUGUUAUUUUGAAUUUGAAAGACUUAUUUCUAAAAUGAAAGAAAUAAAUACUAUCUCACAUUUUUUGUGUUUACUUUUAUGCUAGUAGAAGUGUACGGUUGUAUUGUUGAACAAAUACAAACUGUGUUAUACAUCACAACUAUUUUUUUCACAACUAUAAUGCAUGUAAGAUAAAAAUAAGACAUAAAAACUAAGGCAAACUAUGUGAGUUUCUCUCUUAUGGAUUUCACAUGAUUAUUAAAAAUCCAACAAAAUGUAUCUUUAUAUAUAUUAUAUUUCUGUGAUAUUUGGCAGGCUCUACUGCAAAAUGAUGCUUUUUUUUUUAUCUGGAGCAUGAUCUUGCAACAAGAUUUACCUCUUCUUGCUCAACUUUUUCAAAGAUUUGUAUUUCAAAGGCGCAGAGUUCUCUUCACCUAGCUUCAUUUGGGGAUGAAGAAGCUUUGAUCGGAGACGAUGAUGAAUUCAGCUCAAAAUCCAACUUCUUCUGCCAAUCAUCAGUGGAUCUAGGUAACCUGCAGAAGGAUUCUGGUUAGCGUCUCCUGGAUCUGAAGAUUCAUCAUCUUCAUCCACAUGCAUUGCUCGAACUGGAUCAACUUUCAUGCACCUCAAUAGAUGUUGUUUCCCCUACAUCAACCCUGUAGGGAAAGUGAAAUUGUGAAGGAGUUUUAGAUCGCUCCAUCCACAAGAUUUAAAUGUUGGAGAUAGUAUCUUCUGGGAGAUUUUUGUGCUUUGAAGAGCUGGGCUGAUUAUUCAACCUAGGAGUGCUUUGUAGCGUCUCCUGGAUUUAAAUGUUGUAGAUAAUGUUUUCAUUUUUGUUUACUUCUUCAUUGUUGUAUGUUUUGUUGGUUCUCUUAGUAAGAUGUAUUGAUAACAUAUAAAGUAAUUUUUUAUU
rnacentral:lncRNA from 1 species